rnacentral:rRNA from 1 species
AACGAACGCUGGCGGCAGGCUUAACACAUGCAAGUCGAACGCACCGCAAGGUGAGUGGCAGACGGGUGAGUAACGCGUGGGAACGUGCCCUUCAGUUCGGAAUAACCCAGGGAAACUUGGGCUAAUACCGGAUACGUGCGAGAGCAGAAAGAUUUAUCGCUGAAGGAUCGGCCCGCGUCUGAUUAGCUAGUUGGUGGGGUAAUGGCCCACCAAGGCGACGAUCAGUAGCNGGUCUGAGAGGAUGAUCAGCCACAUUGGGACUGAGACACGGCCCAAACUCCUACGGGAGGCAGCAGUGGGGAAUAUUGGACAAUGGGCGCAAGCCUGAUCCAGCCAUGCCGCGUGAGUGAUGAAGGCCUUAGGGUUGUAAAGCUCUUUCGGCGGGGACGAUAAUGACGGUACCCGCAGAAGAAGCCCCGGCCAACUUCGUGCCAGCAGCCGC